rnacentral:rRNA from 1 species
AGCGGAUGAGUUGCGAAGGGGUGAGUAACGCGUAGGUAACCUGCCUCUUAGCGGGGGAUAACUAUUGGAGACGAUAGCUAAUACCGCAUAAAAGUCGACAUUGCAUGAUGUUGAUUUGAAAGGUGCAAUUUGCAUCACUAAGAGAUGGACCUGCGUUGUAUUAGCUAGUUGGUGAGGUAACGGCUCACCAAGGCGACGAUACAUAGCCGACCUGAGAGGGUGAUCGGGCACACUGGGACUGAGACACGGCCCAGACUCCUACGGGAGGCAGCAGUAGGGAAUCUUCGGCAAUGGGGGCAACCCUGACCGAGCAACGCCGCGUGAGUGAAGAAGGUAUACGGAUCGUAAAGCUCUGUUGUAAGAGAAGAACGAGUGUGAGACGUGGAAAGUUCACACUGUGACGGUAACUUACCAGAAAGGGACGGCUAACUACGUGCCAGCAGCCGCGGUAAUACGUAGGUCCCGAGCGUUAUCCGGAUUUAUUGGGCGUAAAGCGAGCGCAAGGCGGUUAGAUAAGUCUGAAGUUAAAGGCUGUGGCUUAACCAUAGUACGCUUUGGAAACUGUUUAACUUGAGUGCAGAAGGGGAGAGUGGAAUUC